UUCCCUUAGUAACUGCGAGUGAAGAGGGAAAAGCUCAAAUUUAAAAUCUGGCAGUGUUUCACUGUCCGAGUUGUAACCUAGAGAAGUGUAACCUGUGCUGGACCGUGUAUAAGUUUCCUGGAAUGGAGCAUCAUAGAGGGUGAGAAUCCCGUCUUUGACACGGACUACCAGUGCAUUGUGGUUGUGCUCUCAACGAGUCGAGUUGUUUGGGAAUGCAGCUCUAAAUGGGUGGUAAAUUCCAUCUAAAGCUAAAUAUUGGCGAGAGACCGAUAGCGAACAAGUACCGUGAGGGAAAGAUGAAAAGAACUUUGGAAAGAGAGUUAAACAGUAUGUGAAAUUGUUGAAAGGGAAACGUUUGAAGUCAGUCGCGUUAGCUGGGGAUCAGCCUGACCUUGUUGGGUGUACUUCCUGGUUGAUGGGCCAACAUCAGUUUUGACUGCCAGAAAAAGGCCAAGGGAAUGUGGCACCUUUGGGUGUGUUAUAGCCUUUGGUCAUAUAUGGUGGUUGGGACUGAGGAACGCAGUGUGCCGAAAGGCCGGGUUUCGACCACGUUCACACUGAGGAUGUUGGCAUAAUGGCUUUAAGCGACCCGUCUUGAAACACGGACCAAGGAGUCUAACAUGCGUGCGAGUGUUUGGGUGGAAAACCCUUACGCGCAAUGAAAGUGAAAGUUGAGAUCCCUGUCGUGGGGAGCAUCGACGCCCGGACCAGAACUUUUGGGACGGAUCUGCGGUAGAGCAUGUAUGUUGGGACCCGAAAGAUGGUGAACUAUGCCUGAAUAGGGUGAAGCCAGAGGAAACUCUGGUGGAGGCUCGUAGCGAUUCUGACGUGCAAAUCGAUCGUCAAAUUUGGGUAUAGGGGCGAAA
rnacentral:rRNA from 1 species